rnacentral:misc_RNA from 1 species
UGCAUAGUUGAAAGUUAAUGGACCAGUCUCCGACCUAGCUUGGGGUGCUUUCUCUCACUUGGGUUGGUGUACCUAUGUUUGAGUGCUAGUUUUUGCAGGUUGGGCUGUCUAGGGAGAGAGCUUUUAUUAAACCUGAGUUUGGAGAUAAGUUUCGACAUGAAAUGGGUUGGCUUAAGGGGAGAGCAGGAAAGUUGAGGAGUCCGCCGACAUGAGUGUCUUAAGGCUGACCCAAGGCUGUUAUGAGAUUAAAAUGCCUUGGAUCUUGAUGUAAAAAACCUGCUUUUUUGGCUAGUUUAUGCUGUGCUGUUGAGCUUGGUGAUUGACUGAUCCGGUAGAGGUUGAAAAUGCGUUCCAGACUUCCAGUUGGUGGUAGGCAGUAAAAAGUUGAUGCGCUUGUCACCGAUGCCCCUUCUUUUCUUCCUCAGCCUCUGCAUCAACUCCCAUUAUGGGUGGUCGGCAAUGUUGUUUUGGUGAUUUGGAUUGUUGCAAUUCUCUGUGGACUAAGGGUAGCCAUUAAACCCUGGAAGAGUCUUGAUGAUUGCUUGUGAAACAACAACGUUAGUGAAGAUCAAACCAAGAACAACAUUCGAAAACGUUGCUGUAAUCAAUGAAGUUGCCUCCAUUCUUCGUUUCAUCUCUUGGAAAGACACUCACUCUUCUUGGAUGUUUAUG